rnacentral:rRNA from 1 species
GAGUUUGAUCCUGGCUCAGGACGAACGCUGGCGGCGCGCCUAACACAUGCAAGUCGAACGAGAGAGAGGGAGCUUGCUUCCUUGAUCGAGUGGCGAACGGGUGAGUAACGCGUGAGGAACCUGCCUCAAAGAGGGGGACAACAGUUGGAAACGACUGCUAAUACCGCAUAAGCCCACGGUGCUGCAUGGCACAGAGGGAAAAGGAGUAAUCCGCUUUGAGAUGGCCUCGCGUCCGAUUAGCUGGUUGGUGAGGUAACGGCCUACCAAGGCGACGAUCAGUAGCCGGUCUGAGAGGAUGAACGGCCACAUUGGAACUGAGACACGGUCCAAACUCCUACGGGAGGCAGCAGUGGGGAAUAUUGCACAAUGGGGGAAACCCUGAUGCAGCAACGCCGCGUGAGUGAAGAAGUAUUUCGGUAUGUAAAGCUCUAUCAGCAGGGAAGAUAAUGACGGUACCUGACUAAGAAGCUCCGGCUAAAUACGUGCCAGCCGCCGCGGUAAUUC